AGAGUUUGAUCCUGGCUCAGGAUGAACGCUGGCGGCGUGCCUAAUACAUGCAAGUCGAGCGAACGGAUGAGAAGCUUGCUUCUCUGAUGUUAGCGGCGGACGGGUGAGUAACACGUGGAUAACCUACCUAUAAGACUGGGAUAACUUCGGGAAACCGGAGCUAAUACCGGAUAAUAUUUUGAACCGCAUGGUUCAAAAGUGAAAGACGGUCUUGCUGUCACUUAUAGAUGGAUCCGCGCUGCAUUAGCUAGUUGGUAAGGUAACGGCUUACCAAGGCAACGAUGCAUAGCCGACCUGAGAGGGUGAUCGGCCACACUGGAACUGAGACACGGUCCAGACUCCUACGGGAGGCAGCAGUAGGGAAUCUUCCGCAAUGGGCGAAAGCCUGACGGAGCAACGCCGCGUGAGUGAUGAAGGUCUUCGGAUCGUAAAACUCUGUUAUUAGGGAAGAACAUAUGUGUAAGUAACUGUGCACAUCUUGACGGUACCUAAUCAGAAAGCCACGGCUAACUACGUGCCAGCAGCCGCGGUAAUACGUAGGUGGCAAGCGUUAUCCGGAAUUAUUGGGCGUAAAGCGCGCGUAGGCGGUUUUUUAAGUCUGAUGUGAAAGCCCACGGCUCAACCGUGGAGGGUCAUUGGAAACUGGAAAACUUGAGUGCAGAAGAGGAAAGUGGAAUUCCAUGUGUAGCGGUGAAAUGCGCAGAGAUAUGGAGGAACACCAGUGGCGAAGGCGACUUUCUGGUCUGUAACUGACGCUGAUGUGCGAAAGCGUGGGGAUCAAACAGGAUUAGAUACCCUGGUAGUCCACGCCGUAAACGAUGAGUGCUAAGUGUUAGGGGGUUUCCGCCCCUUAGUGCUGCAGCUAACGCAUUAAGCACUCCGCCUGGGGAGUACGACCGCAAGGUUGAAACUCAAAGGAAUUGACGGGGACCCGCACAAGCGGUGGAGCAUGUGGUUUAAUUCGAAGCAACGCGAAGAACCUUACCAAAUCUUGACAUCCUUUGACAAC
rnacentral:rRNA from 1 species